GGGGACGCCGGAAACCGAGGGAUUUGGAAUAACAACGAAAUUGUGAUCGCAAUCCAUACCGGAUACAGCGAAAUCAGUUCCUAAUACCGGAAGACAGUAAAUCGAUGUGAAAAGUCGGAUCGAGGACUCCGGUGUCGCCGGAAAUCGCAAAGGAAAGUGAAUCCGACUGCGACCAUUCGAUCGUGCAAUAUCCCGCAGCCAUUCGGACGCAGACACCGUAAUUGAGGUUUUGCAUCUGUCGCGUACCCAUCGUACUCCCGAGCAUAGCCAAAACUACGACAGUUCAACGUAUGUAAUCACAGGAUCGGUUGAAAUUGUUGAAAUCGAGCAAUCCGAGGAUCGAGCUAAAUAUAAUGCUAGAAUUUA